CCUACGGGAGGCAGCAGUGGGGAAUUUUGGACAAUGGGCGAAAGCCUGAUCCAGCCAUACCGCGUGCGGGAAGAAGGCCUUCGGGUUGUAAACCGCUUUUGUCAGGGAAGAAAUACUUCGGGCUAAUACCCUGGGGUGAUGACGGUACCUGAAGAAUAAGCACCGGCUAACUACGUGCCAGCAGCCGCGGUAAUACGUAGGGUGCAAGCGUUAAUCGGAAUUACUGGGCGUAAAGCGUGCGCAGGCGGUUCUAUAAGACAGAUGUGAAAUCCCCGGGCUCAACCUGGGAACUGCAUUUGUGACUGUAGAGCUAGAGUACGGUAGAGGGGGAUGGAAUUCCGCGUGUAGCAGUGAAAUGCGUAGAUAUGCGGAGGAACACCGAUGGCGAAGGCAAUCCCCUGGACCUGUACUGACGCUCAUGCACGAAAGCGUGGGGAGCAAACAGGAUUAGAUACCCUGGUAGUCCACGCCCUAAACGAUGUCAACUGGUUGUUGGGAGGGUUUCUUCUCAGUAACGAAGCUAACGCGUGAAGUUGACCGCCUGGGGAGUACGGCCGCAGGUUGAAACUCGAAAGGAAUUGACGG
rnacentral:rRNA from 1 species